rnacentral:rRNA from 1 species
UUUAUGGAGAGUUUGAUCCUGGCUCAGGAUGAACGCUGGCGGCGUGCCUAAUACAUGCAAGUCGAGCGAACAGACGAGGAGCUUGCUCCUUUGACGUUAGCGGCGGACGGGUGAGUAACACGUAGGUAACCUACCUAUAAGACUGGGAUAAC